rnacentral:lncRNA from 1 species
UUCAAACGCGAUCCCGACUUGUAUCCUUGGGCUUUUACUCAGAUUUCUAAGCUAUAAAUCACUUGAAUUCAUUCCAUAACAUCUAUAAAGCUCGGAAUAACUCCUACAAGGUAUAAAACACACAGUUAGUGUAAGACACUAGCAAUUAAAGCUCAAACUCAAUCAAAGUACAGUAAAUUUGAGUGUAAUAAGCGACUAAAAUAAGUAAUUAUAGGCUAUCAUAAAUACCCCACACUUAGACUCUUUCUCGUGCUCUAGCCAUGGGACUAUCUAAUAAACCCCCCAACUACGUACAAGUAUCAAUUAUAGAGGAGUACUUUAACUUUUACCCACACGAUAUACCCUAGACUAUGAUAAAUACCGGCACACAAGUAUAAACACAUAAAAAUUCAUAUUCUUCUCGUUUAAGCAUGCCCAAGUAUAAUAUUUCACUUCAAUCAAUUCCAACAACCUAUCUGUCACCACCCAACCUCAAAAGUCGACUUGUAACCACUAAGCACCCUCAAUUCAUGCACUUACCUAAAGAGAAAGUUUACAACAUUACCAAUCAUUCAUGAGAUCAUGUGCCAUCACCAACAAAUAAAAGAGUGAAUAUAGAUAGUCCACACAUUCAAAUAUACGUUUGAAUAUAGAUUAAGGACAUCACAUAAUUGAACCAAAUUCACUCACUCUCACAAAAAAUUCAUAUGCCUCACGUGGUUAUACCAUAAGCUUGCCCAUAGUGUAUAUCUCUGCUAAUUUAAGCUAGCUAAAUCUAGGAUCAAUUAGGACCUUUAUGGUUGUAAUGUAGGCUAAGGGAGGCGUAAGAUAUAUUUUGGAAUAGUGGCUAACCCUCCUGAGCACUUUAAUACAUUACAUUUACACUUCAAGCUCAUAUUCUUCUCAACCG